GAGGGCUGUUCCUGGGACGGAAAUGCAGGGAGCUGGCGGGCUCAGACAGCGGGAGCGCAGGGCAGAAGCAGGGAGACCGACUGAGGCGUUGCUGCAGGGAGACACGAGGGCAUCCCUGGAACCAGAGAUUCCAGCAGUGACCCAG